ensembl:lncRNA
ACACCCGGAGGUGUGCUAGUUUUGAGUUGAAUUUCUCUGCCCACACACCAAGGACUCGGAACACUUCAAGCAGGACAGUGUUUCUACAGGACAUAAACAACUAUGGGACUGUUGACUUUUGCGCUUGCAGCGCUGGCAGUGGCGGGAGCAAGUAAUUUCAAAAUGCUGCUACGAGUUCAGUUUGGGGGAGAGCAAAAAUACAUACAGCUGUCUGAGCUGACAUUUGAUACUUUUUUGAAAGAAGUGUGCCUGGAAUUCAACAUACCAGAAGGCAGGCAGCUAGAUAUGAAGGUUUAUGACCAGUCUGACACAGAGGUUGACGCUGAUGUUUUUGAAGAGAUAGUGAAGGAUUCACCUGGAGCCUUUCGAAUCAUGUUGGGCAGUGAAGGAUUUGGUAAUCUUUGAGACCAUUCACAGACAUGUUAAUUUAGCGUAAAGGCUGAUCUGAGACUAUGUAUCCCAUUAAAUAUAACAGCUCCAUGUAACAUGUUUCUAUUUUGUAUAAUUUCCAUAAUGCACAGGUGCCUCGCAAUCAUCAUGCUCCGUAACAUCUGAGGACACUGUCAUUCAAGAAUCACAUUAUGACCGUCACACUCAAUUGACAAUUAGAAAACACAAAUCAAAUAAAUACCAAUUGUCUAUAUAGCCUGUCAAUACUAGCAAUGUUUCUUGAUAGCCUAAUAUUUGAUGCUUACCCACAGGGGCGGAGAUCCCAUUUCAUUGUAGGGGGGGACAAUACAUGGUCAAAUUUCAGAGUGUAAUUCCGGGGGG